rnacentral:rRNA from 1 species
AGUAAACGUUGGCGGCGUGCCUAACACAUGCAAGUCGUACGAUCCUUAAGUGGCUUGCCAUUUAAGGAAAGUGGCGAACGGGUGAGUAACACGUGAGUAAUCUGCCCCUAAGUGAGGAAUAACUCCGCGAAAGCGGGGCUAAUACCGCAUGAAACUCUGAAGCAAACGCUUUCAGAGUCAAAGCCCCCUAGGGGGUGCUUGGGGAUGAGCUUGCGGCCUAUUAGCUAGUUGGUGGGGUAAUGGCCUACCAAGGUAAUGAUGGGUAGCCGGCCUGAGAGGGUGUACGGCCACACUGGAACUGCGACACGGUCCAGACUCCUACGGGAGGCAGCAGUGGGGAAUUUUGCGCAAUGGGCGAAAGCCUGACGCAGCGACGCCGCGUGGAGGAUUAAGGCCUUCGGGUUGUAAACUCCUGUCAGAGGUGAAGAAUACCCCCUUUGGGGGGUUUGACGGUAAC